UACCAGACUCCUACGGGAGGCAGCAGUGGGGAAUAUUGGGCAAUGGGCGCAAGCCUGACCCAGCAACGCCGCGUGAAGGAAGAAGGCUUUCGGGUUGUAAACUUCUUUUGUCAGGGAAGAGUAGAAGACGGUACCUGACGAAUAAGCCACAGCUAACUACGUGCCAGCAGCCGUGGUAAUACGUAGGUGGCAAGCGUUGUCCGGAUUUACUGGGUGUAAAGGGCGUGUAGCCGGGUUGACAAGUCAGAUGUGAAAUCCUGCGGCUUAACCGCAGAACUGCAUUUGAAACUGUUGGUCUUGAGUAUCGGAGAGGCAGGCGGAAUUCCUAGUGUAGCGGUGAAAUGCGUAGAUAUUAGGAGGAACACCAGUGGCGAAGGCGGCCUGCUGGACGACAACUGACGGUGAGGCGCGAAAGCGUGGGGAGCAAACAGGAUUAGAUACCCUAGUA
rnacentral:rRNA from 1 species